rnacentral:sRNA from 2 species
AUCAACUUUGGAGAAUAAGAAAAGGAUUAUGCAAUUUUUUUUCCCCCAUGUUUUCCGUUUGACAGCUUAGUCUCAGGGGAUUUUGAGGGAUCAUGGAAGGUUUAUCUUCCAGAAACAAGUUCCUGCGGAGCAGCUGCAUUGUGCUGAAAAAAAACGGAAGGUUGCUGACUGAGGGCGAGUUGGAGAUAGUUAUUGAAACUAGGCAGUCCACAUCACGAUUCACAGUGUUGGCAUCGUAGGAGGAUCUAAGUUUUCAACAUAUAAAUUCCCAGCCCGGAGACUCCCGGACGGAACGUGUCAGACGAAGUUGCUUCCGGCUAACCUCACCGCAACAGGGGAGGCAUACUGCACCUCCCAAGAGUACACAAAGGAUAUUCAUUCGUAUUCGAUACUUUUGAGCACGGUAUUCUGGGAAAAUAUGGAGUGUCACUGGGCAACUGUCAAAACCUGGACUGCAACCACGCUACCGUCUGCAGGAGAAGGAAGAACAGAAAUGCUUGGGCACCUUAGAUUAGUAGUGCUAAAGCGCACUCUACGAUAACCCCAGAAGCAGCGUCAGCGGCGGAGGGAUUCUGUUCCGCCCGAUAAACAGGAGCUAUGAGCGUUUAUAUUAGCAAAUGAAUGAUGGUUUGAUAGGAAGCACAUCUUGGCAUUGGGCAGAGACAGCUGAAAAUCCUCACAAACUACUGACUACUAUGUACAGUCUUAGAAUAAAUUCAUGAA